CAAACGACUCUCGGCAACGGAUAUCUCGGCUCACGCAUCGAUGAAGAACGUAGCAAAAUGCGAUACUUGGUGUGAAUUGCAGAAUCCCGUGAACCAUYGAGUUUUUGAAMGCAARUUGSGCCCGAAACCUUUUGGCCGAGGGCACGUCUGCCUGGGCGUCACAC
rnacentral:rRNA from 1 species